UACGAAGGGGGCUAGCGUUGUUCGGAAUUACUGGGCGUAAAGCGCGCGCAGGCGGCUCUUCAAGUCAGGGGUGAAAGCCCGGGGCUCAACCCCGGAACUGCCUUUGAAACUAGGUAGCUAGAAUCUUGGAGAGGUCAGUGGAAUUCCGAGUGUAGAGGUGAAAUUCGUAGAUAUUCGGAAGAACACCAGUGGCGAAGGCGACUUACUGGACACGUAUUGACGCUGAGGUGCGAAAGCGUGGGGAGCAAACAGG
rnacentral:rRNA from 1 species